rnacentral:rRNA from 1 species
UACCAGACUCCUACGGGAGGCAGCAGUAGGGAAUAUUGCACAAUGGGGGAAACCCUGAUGCAGCGACGCCGCGUGAGCGAUGAAGUAUUUCGGUAUGUAAAGCUCUAUCAGCAGGGAAGAAGAUGACGGUACCUGACUAAGAAGCCCCGGCUAACUACGUGCCAGCAGCCGCGGUAAUACGUAGGGGGCAAGCGUUAUCCGGAUUUACUGGGUGUAAAGGGAGCGUAGACGGCGAUGCAAGUCUGAAGUGAAAGCCCGUGGCUUAACCGCGGAACGGCUUUGGAAACUGUGGAACUGGAGUGCUGGAGAGGCAAGCGGAAUUCCUAGUGUAGCGGUGAAAUGCGUAGAUAUAAGGAGGAACACCAGUGGCGAAGGCGGUCUGCUGGACAGCAACUGACGGUGAGGCGCGAAAGCGUGGGGAGCAAACAGGAUUAGAUACCCCCGUAC